GACGAACGCUGGCGGCGUGCCUAAUACAUGCAAGUAGAACGCACAUUUUAUAUCGUUGCUUGCUCCACCAUAGACUGUUAGUUGCGAACGGGUGAGUAACGCGUCGGUAUCCUGCCUGGUAGCGUAUGAUAACUAUUUGUAACUAUAGCUAAUACCGCAUUAUAUUAAUUAUUGCAUGUUAAUUGAUUGAAUUGUGUCAUUGCACCACUAUCAGAUGGUCCUGCGUGGUAUUAGCUAGUAGGUGAGGUAACGGCUCACCUAUGCGACGAUACAUAGCCGACAUGAGAGGGUGAUCGGCCACACUGGGACUGAGACACGGCCCAGACUCAUACGGGAGGCAGCAGUAGGGAAUCUUCGGCAAUGGACGAAAGUAUGACCGAGAAACGCCGCGUGAGUGAAGAAGGUUUUCGGAUCGUAAAGAUCUGUUGUAAGAGAAGAACGGGUGUGAGAGUGGAAAGAUCAAAAAGUGACGGUAACUAACCAGAAAGGGACGGCUAAAUACGUG
rnacentral:rRNA from 1 species